rnacentral:rRNA from 1 species
UACGUAGGGAGCAAGCGUUGUCCGGAUUUAUUGGGCGUAAAGAGCGUGUAGGCGGCUAGGUAGGUCCGUUGUGAAAACUCGAGGCUCAACCUCGAGACGCCGGUGGAAACCAUCUAGCUAGAGUCCGGAAGAGGAGAGUGGAAUUCCUGGUGUAGCGGUGAAAUGCGCAGAUAUCAGGAAGAACACCCGUGGCGAAGGCGGCUCUCUGGUACGUGACUGACGCUGAGACGCGAAAGCGUGGGGAGCGAACAGG